UACGAAGGGGGCUAGCGUUGUUCGGAAUUACUGGGCGUAAAGCGCGUGUAGGCGGGUCCUUAAGUCAGGGGUGAAAUGCCAGGGCUCAACCUUGGAACUGCCUUUGAUACUGGGGAUCUUGAGUCCGGGAGAGGUGAGUGGAACUGCGAGUGUAGAGGUGAAAUUCGUAGAUAUUCGCAAGAACACCAGUGGCGAAGGCGGCUCACUGGCCCGGAACUGACGCUGAGACGCGAAAGCGUGGGGAGCAAACAGGG
rnacentral:rRNA from 1 species